GCCUGACGGAGCAACGCCGCGUGAGGGAGGAAGGCCUGUGGGUUGUAAACCUCUUUUCUCAAGGAAGAAGUUCUGACGGUACUUGAGGAAUCAGCAUCGGCUAACUCCGUGCCAGCAGCCGCGGUAAGACGGAGGAUGCAAGCGUUAUCCGGAAUUAUUGGGCGUAAAGCGUCCGUAGGCGGCUUCAAAAGUCUGUUGUUAAAUCCCACAGCUCAACUGUGGAUCGGCGAUGGAAACUGUGAGACUAGAGAGUGGUAGGGGUAGAGGGAAUUCCUAGUGUAGCGGUGAAAUGCGUAGAUAUUAGGAAGAACACCAGUGGCGAAGGCGCUCUACUGGGCCAUUACUGACGCUGAUGGACGAAAGCUAGGGGAGCGAAAGGGAUUAGAUACCCCUGUAGUCCUAGCUGUAAACGAUGGAUACUAGGUGUUGGCCGUAUCGACCCGGUCAGUAUCGAAGCAAACGCGUUAAGUAUCCCGCCUGGGGAGUACGCACGCAAGUGUGAAACUCAAAGGAAUUGACGGGGGCCCGCACAAGCGGUGGAGUAUGUGGUUUAAUUCGAUGCAACGCGAAGAACCUUACCAGGGAUUGACAUCCUACGAA
rnacentral:rRNA from 1 species